GGUAACUUGGGGCCAGCGGGCGCGGUAAUACGGAGGGUGCAAGCGUUAAGCGGAAUGACUGGGCGUAAAGCGUGCGUAGGCGGUUCUUUAAGUCGGCGGUGAAAUCCCCGGGCUCAACCUGGGAAUGGCAUUGGAUACUGGAGAGCUAGAGUGUGAUAGAGGAUGGUGGAAUGCCCGGUGUAGCGGUGAAAUGCGUAGAGAUCGGGAGGAACAUCAGUGGCGAAGGCGGCCAUCUGGAUCAACACUGACGCUGAGGCACGAAAGCGUGGGGAGCAAACAGGAUUAGAUACCCCAGUAGUC
rnacentral:rRNA from 1 species